AGUUGUCAUCACCCAGUACCUGCGCGGAUGUGACACUACACGAAGAGCCUACCGAUCAGGAGGAAAUUACAGUUUCCUUGAUCCCUGAACCGGUUGUGGAGGACUCCCAGACAUCUGCCACCACCACCAGAACCACCACCAUGGCCAUGGUGCUUGACAAGCAA